GUUGGCAAGCCUGUUAUUGGAAUGCCAUAUGUUAAACCAGGGGUUGGCAAGCCUGUUAUUGUAAUGCCAUAUGUUAAACCAGGGGUUGGCAAGCCUGUUAUUGGAAUGCCAUAUGUUAAACCAGGGGGUUGGCAAGCCUGUUAUUGGAAUGCCAUAUGUUAAACCAGGGGGUUGGCAAGCCUGUUAUUGGAAUGACAUAUGUUAAACCAGGGGUUGGCAAGCCUGUUAUUGGAAUGCCAUAUGUUAAACCAGCUGGCCUUCAGGUUGGUUAAAUCAAAAACAGGAACCACAGGACCAGACUGGCCUAUCCACGUGUCAACUCAAACAUUUUACCAUGCAGCAUAAUCAAAUGUUAGCUUGAUUGAUUGAUUGAUUUAAUUUAGCGAUUUGAUAUUUUUUAUUGAUUUACUAAAAUGUUCUGUAUCCGAUAUCCUAACCUGAAGCUGUUUUUCUCUUCCCAACGACUGAUGUCUCAUUUUGACUGAGAUCGGAGCCAAGCGGGACCCAGCAACACUGAACAUCUUCUCAGGGAACAUCAUGAAGUUACUGCGUGCACCAGCCCACGGGGUGAGGAUAAUCGGCAGCUCAACCCUGGCCCUGUGACUGAUGGCCACGGGGUGGCUGAGGCCUACCACCAGUAUGGGCUGCACUGCUAGGACAUCGCCGCCACUACUGUUGUCAUCCGAGAGGCCGGGGGAGUUGUCAUAGGCACCACAGUAUUCUGGUCUCAAACUGAGCUCUCAUCUGAACGGUUGUCCUGGAGGAGGCAGCAAUGAGAUGGGCCUGGGGUGUUGCACAAAAGGACCACUGUUCAAGAGACGGAGGGACUGGGCGCGAGGUCGGGAUCAUGUGGUCAGCUGCCGUUCAGUCUCUGGCAGGCCAGAAGCUCAGUUAUCAGCCCCUGAAAUGGGGUCCUCUCGACCUCAUGUCCUGAAGUGGUUGCUGCAGGAACCCACAACAUGGCCAGUUACAUCGUCCAGCAACUGCAGUCAAUCGGCUACGAGUGGGAUGACAGUGACCGUGGUUUGCAAAGGUCAAAGUCGACCUCCAUCUAUCCAGUGGAUUCUCCUCCGCCUUUAACCUCAAAUCAUGAAAUACUGCUGCAGAGUAUGCAAGCCUGCUCUUUUUUUAAAGGAGAUUUAGCUCAAAUGUAAUGUUCCUCUUUUUACAUUUUUUUCCCCAACUGCUUACACACGUUUUCAAAACACUGCACACAUAAAAUGCAAAAUGCCUCACAUCUCCUUCAAAAUGUCAUAAACACAUGUCAGAAUGAAGCAUAUGCAUCAAAUGGCAAACACUGCUUUCAUAAUAGUAUAUUUUUAGAUAUACCAUAUAAACACUGUUGCUGUAAAUCUAAAGCUCUUUGGUCUUUCAUAGGCUAAAAUCUACAUUUCAAUACAAUGUUCUACAGUGAAAGUAAUCUGCUGAGAGGGGUAACAAGUACACUGUAAACACCAAUUUAUUAGGCCAAACAUUACUGUUGUAUACAGUAGCAUACAACAAAAC